GAUGAACGCUGGCGGCGUGCCUAAUACAUGCAAGUCGAGCGGUCGGACUAGAAGUUGGCUGUGCUGAUGUUAGCGGCGGGCGUGUGAGUAACACGGGUGUAACCUACCGAUAUGACGGGGAUAACUGGGGGAAACCGGAGCUAAUAGCGGAGAAUAUUGUUAACCGCAUGGUUCAGGAGUGAAAGACGGUCUUGCUGUCACUUAUAGAUGUAUCCGCGCUGCAUUAGCUAGUUGGUAAGGUAACGGCCUACCAGGGCAACGAUGCGUAGCCGACCUGAGAGAGGGAUAGCCGGCCUUGGAACUGAGACAGGCACAAGAGUCCUACGAGAGGCCGCAGACGCGAAUGUUAGGCCAUAGGCGAAAGCAUGACGGAGCAACGCCGAGUCUGUGGCGGCGAUGUUCGGAUCGUGAAGAUCUGCUAUUAGGGAAGAACAUCUGUGUACGUAAAUGUACACUUCUUGACGGUACCUAGUGAGAAAGCCACGGCUAACUACGUG
rnacentral:rRNA from 1 species